CGGAUUUCUAGGACAUGGUGCAAAUGACAGAGUGCUCCUCGGAGGCUCCCACUAACAUUAAAGAUGGUAUCACAGGGGAAGGUGGAGCACUUCCUGACAUUUGGAAUACAGAAAAAUCCAUGCAAGGUGUGAAAGGGCAGAAGAUUGGCAGCAAAGAUUUAAAAAAAAAAAAGCAGCAGAAGUGGCAGAAGAGAGGGUCCAAGAGAGGCAGCGUGAGGAGGCUGCGUGGGACAUGGGUUCUUGCCUUCAGCCUCCAGACAGACCCACAGCACACGGGGACCUACAGAAUUGUGAGCAGACAGCCCUGCCGGGGAUACGGGAGUCAACAACUCCAGGGGGCGCCAUUCAGAGAGCCCACCCUCCCACAGGUGUCCCUUCUUGUAAGGGGGAAGGAGCAGCACAGGAUGGAACACAAGAACAGCAAAAGGAUGGGGGGAGGAGUCGGAAACUUCUUAAAUAAAAUGCAAUAUGUUACAUUAUGAGCUCUCCACAUAAUUA